UGGGGAAUAAUUGGGCAAUGGGCGCAAGCCUGACCCAGCAACGCCGCGUGAAGGAAGAAGGCUUUCGGGUUGUAAACUUCUUUUAAGAGGGAAGAGCAGAAGACGGUACCUCUUGAAUAAGCCACGGCUAACUACGUGCC
rnacentral:rRNA from 1 species